UGUCUAGGGGAUCGCUUUUGCACCCUGCUCUGGAGUAGGAGGAGGUGGAUGUAGAGUAGGUGGUUGAGGAGGCGGUGACCGUGGUGGCGACGACGCAUUCGGAUGUCUGCCCUAUCAACUUUCGAUGUUACUAUCUGCACCUACCAUGGUGACCACGGGUAACAAAGAAUCAGGGUUCGAUUCCGGAGAGGGAGCCUGAGAAACGGUUACCACAUCCAAGGAAGGCAGCAGGUGCGGAAAUUACCCAGUCCCGACGCGGGGAGGUAGUGACGAUA